rnacentral:rRNA from 1 species
CACGUAGGGGGCGAGCGUUGUCCGGAUUUAUUGGGCGUAAAGAGCUCGUAGGCGGCUAAGUAAGUCAGGUGUGAAAACUCCAGGCUCAACCUGGAGACGCCACCUGAUACUGCUUUGGCUAGAGUCCGGUAGGGGAGCAUGGAAUUCCUGGUGUAGCGGUGAAAUGCGCAGAUAUCAGGAGGAACACCGGUGGCGAAGGCGGCUUCCUGGACCGACACUGACGCUGAGGCGCGAAAGCUAGGGGAGCAAACGGG